rnacentral:rRNA from 1 species
UGAGGAAUAUUGGUCAAUGGGGGCAACCCUGAACCAGCCAAGUCGCGUGAAGGAUGAAGGUCUUAUGGAUUGUAAACUUCUUUUACACGGGAAUAAAGCGGGGGACGUGCCCCUCUUUGCAUGUACCGUGUGAAUAAGGAUCGGCUAACUCCGUGCCAGCAGCCGCGGUAAUACGGAGGAUCCGAGCGUUAUCCGGAUUUAUUGGGUUUAAAGGGUGCGUAGGCGGAAAGAUAAGUCAGCCUGUGAAAGUUUGCGGCUCAACCGUAAAAUUGCAGUUGAUACUGUUUUUCUUGAGUGUACAUAAGGUAGGCGGAAUUCGUGGUGUAGCGGUGAAAUGCUUAGAUAUCACGAAGAACUCCGAUUGCGAAGGCAGCUUACCGGGGUACAACUGACGCUGAUGCACGAAAGUGUGGGUAUCAAACA